UAGGGAAUCUUCCGCAAUGGGCGAAAGCCUGACGGAGCAACGCCGCGUGAGUGAUGAAGGGUUUCGGCUCGUAAAACUCUGUUAUUAGGGAAGAACAAAUGUGUAAGUAACUGUGCACAUCUUGACGGUACCUAAUCAGAAAGCCACGGCUAACUACGUGCCAGCAGCCGCGGUAAUACGUAGGUGGCAAGCGUUAUCCGGAAUUAUUGGGCGUAAAGCGCGCGUAGGCGGUUUCUUAAGUCUGAUGUGAAAGCCCACGGCUCAACCGUGGAGGGUCAUUGGAAACUGGGAAACUUGAGUGCAGAAGAGGAAAGGGGAAUUCAAGGUGUAGCGGUGAAAUGCGCAGAGAUAUGGAGGAACGCCAGUGGCGAAGGCGACUUUCUGGUCUGUAACUGACGCUGAUGUGCGAAAGCGUGGGGAUCAAACAAG
rnacentral:rRNA from 1 species